GACGAACGCUGGCGGCGUGCUUAACACAUGCAAGUCGAACGGAAAGGCCCUGCUUUUGUGGGGUGCUCGAGUGGCGAACGGGUGAGUAACACGUGAGUAACCUGCCCUUGACUUUGGGAUAACUUCAGGAAACUGGGGCUAAUACCGGAUAGGAGCUCCUGCUGCAUGGUGGGGGUUGGAAAGUUUCGGCGGUUGGGGAUGGACUCGCGGCUUAUCAGCUUGUUGGUGGGGUAGUGGCUUACCAAGGCUUUGACGGGUAGCCGGCCUGAGAGGGUGACCGGCCACAUUGGGACUGAGAGACGGCCCAGACUCCUACGGGAGGCAGCAGUGGGGAAUAUUGCACAAUGGGCGGAAGCCUGAUGCAGCAACGCCGCGUGCGGGAUGACGGCCUUCGGGUGGUAAACCGCUUUCGCCUGUGACGAAGCGUGAGUGACGGUAAUGGGUAAAGAAACACCGGCUAACUACGU
rnacentral:rRNA from 1 species